GAUCAUUACCGAGUGAGGGCCCUCUGGGUCCAACCUCCCACCCGUUGUCUAUCGUACCUUGUUGCUUCGGCGGGCCCGCCGUUUCGACGGCCGCCGGGGAGGCCUUGCGCCCCCGGGCCCGCGCCCGCCGAAGACCCCAACAUGAACGCUGUUCUGAAAGUAUGCAGUCUGAGUUGAUUAUCGUAAUCAGUUAAAACUUUCAACAACGGAUCUCUUGGUUCCGGCAUCGAUGAAGAACGCAGCGAAAUGCGAUAAGUAAUGUGAAUUGCAGAAUUCAGUGAAUCAUCGAGUCUUUGAACGCACAUUGCGCCCCCUGGUAUUCCGGGGGGCAUGCCUGUCCGAGCGUCAUUGCUGCCCUCAAGCACGGCUUGUGUGUUGGGCCCCCGUCCCCCUCUCCCGGGGGACGGGCCCGAAAGGCAGCGGCGGCACCGCGUCCGGUCCUCGAGCGUAUGGGGCUUUGUCACCUGCUCUGUAGGCCCGGCCGGCGCCAGCCGACACCCAACU
rnacentral:misc_RNA from 1 species